GGCCGGGUGGUCUAGUGGUCAGGACGUUAACCGCGUAAGCUCAAGACCCGGGUUCGAUUCCCGCCUCGGCCA